GGUGGGAUUACCCGCUGAACUUAAGCAUAUCAAUAAGCGGAGGAAAAGAAACUAACAAGGAUUCCCCUAGUAACGGCGAGUGAAGAGGGAAAAGCCCAAAUUUGUAAUCUGGCUCUUUCAGAGUCCGAGUUGUAAUUUUAAGAACUGUUUUCCGUGCUGGACCAUGUACAAGUCUGUUGAAAAACAGCAUCAUUGAGGGUGAAAAUCCCGUACAUGAUAUGGACUACCAGUGCAAUGUGAUACAGUCUCUAAGAGUCGAGUUGUUUGGGAAUGCAGCUCAAAGUGGGUGGUAAAUUCCAUCUAAGGCUAAAUAUAGGUGAGAGACCGAUAGCAAACAAGUACCGUGAGGGAAAGAUGAAAAGAACUUUGGAAAGAGAGUUAACAGUACGUGAAAUUGUUAAAAGGGAAACAUUUGAAGUUAGACUUGUUAUUGUUGGUUCAACUUCUUUAUUGAGGUGUAUUCCAAUGGUUAACAGACCAGCAUCAAUUUUUGGGUGUUGGAUAAGGGUUUAGGAAAUGUAGCAACCUUGGUUGUGUUAUAGUCCUUUACUUUGAUACAAUGCUUAGGAUUGAGGAACGCAGUAAGCUUUGUAGCAGA
rnacentral:rRNA from 1 species